rnacentral:rRNA from 1 species
UACGUAGGGUGCGAGCGUUUGUCCGGAAUUAUUGGGCGUAAAGAGCUCGUAGGCGGUUUGUUGCGUCUAUCGUGAAAACCUGCAGCUUAACUGUGGGCUUGCGGUGGAUACGGGCAGACUUGAGUUCGGUAGGGGAGACUGGAAUUCCUGGUGUAGCGGUGAAAUGCGCAGAUAUCAGGAGGAACACCGGUGGCGAAGGCGGGUCUCUGGGCCGAUACUGACGCUGAGGAGCGAAAGCGUGGGGGAGCGAACAGG